rnacentral:rRNA from 1 species
GCCAGACUCCUACGGGAGGCAGCAGUGGGGAAUAUUGGGCAAUGGGCGCAAGCCUGACCCAGCAACGCCGCGUGGAGGAAGAAGGUCUUCGGAUUGUAAACUCCUGUCCUUGGGGACGAUAAUGACGGUACCCAAGGAGGAAGCACCGGCUAACUACGUGCCGGCAGCCGCGGUAAAACGUAGGGUGCAAGCGUUGUCCGGAAUUACUGGGCGUAAAGGGUGCGUAGGUGGUUUCUUAAGUCAGAGGUGAAAGGCUACGGCUCAACCGUAGUAAGCCUUUGAAACUGGGGAACUUGAGUGCAGGAGAGGAGAGUGGAAUUCCUAGUGUAGCGGUGAAAUGCGUAGAUAUUAGGAGGAACACCAGUUGCGAAAGCGGCUCUCUGGACUGUAACUGACACUGAGGCACGAAAGCGUGGGGAGCAAACAGGAUUAGAUACCCCUGUAU